AACGAUUGGAUAUGAUGCUUUUGACCAUGGCCACGCGUGCUUUGACCAAUGACUGGGAUGCUGAGUCGUUUAAUGAAACGCAGUGUUUCAUGCAUUCAAAUGUGGACUGUUGAUCUUGAACGCGCGCCAUAUCAGAUGGUUGUGGUUUUUUUUGGAUUUUAUUCAAAUAUCUUCAUUUCCCUCCAUUUUCUAUUUGAUUUUCCAAUUAUUUUGUUCACUUUGUAAAAUUCAUAAAAAAUACAAAAAUGAUCCAAAUGAGUCCCAAUUUUUUUUCAUGGUUUUUUA
rnacentral:lncRNA from 1 species